GAGAGAUUGGGACAAAAAUACCUCCACCAAAAUGUUAUAGUGCAUUUAAAUUGGAAGGAGGAGCUCUUGCCUGUUCCCCAGACACUGAGGAGAAAGGAGACAGACAGUUGAGAAUUUCCUGGGCUCAUCCAUUUCUUUCCUUUUCACUCCACAUCUGUGGAAGGGACUGGCUACCGCAUCUUAACAUCUCAUUUGAAAGGAGAAAGAACUGUCGUUUAGAAUUGUGGUUGAUUCCAGCAACACUGACACAACCUUACUGUAUAUAAUAUAUAAUGAACAUAAUGAAUGGAAUCUCUGAAGACCCCCCCAAACAAGAUGCCUCAUUAAUAAUUGAAAUUUUGAAAUAAGAAAAUUAUGCCUGCAUUCGGGCCACAACUUCCUCUUUUCUGUUUAUCUUCUCCGCAAAGACAUCAGUCUACUUGUCCCACAAGCAUUUGCAUCAUGAAAGUUGCUCUUUAAACAUAAUUCAAGUCCUGAAGAAUGCUGGGAAGAACAGCCUCUGAAAUUCACAUCUGGGACAAGCUGGAGAAAAAAUUCAUAAAGAAGAAAAUCCUGGUAACUUCCCAAUGUUCUACUUUUCCUGUCUCUGGCUUCCUUUUUUCGUUCCACCAAUGUUGUCAGCUUUUAAUUCUUUGGGGAGAAGAAUAAAAGAGAUGGGAAAAGGCCACAGAACGAUACUAAAAGAUGCCGUAGAAUAAUCAGCAAAUAUAUGACUUCAUAUCAAGGAAAAGCACUUUACGGAAGAGGAGAGACUCCAGGGCAACAGAUUUCUUACAGCGGUACUUUCCUAAGUGUACUAAGGGCUCUGGGGAAGCGGCAGACCUGCCUUCAUCAACAAGACCAAGGCUCCCAGUUAUCACCAUUUCCAGAAAGAAUGGGAAGAAGAGAAGCAAAGGCAGGGCAACCAUCUUCAGGAGGAAGGCUGGGAGCUGGCACAGAGCACUUGCACUUCACAUCCACUGGGGAGGCCCUCGCCGUGUGGAUAUGCACUGGGCUGCAAAGGAAACUUGGAGAUGUGGUUUCUAGCUGGGUAUCCAUAUGCCCAGGAAGAAGUAAAGAACGGACAUGGGAGGACAACCAGUGGUGUCUGCCACAGGUUGACGUUUCCAAAAUAAAUUCCUCUGCAAUUACCUACUAGCUCCACUACUCCACCACCUCUGCAGGACAACCCUUCAGCCAUCAUCCCAGUAAAGCUGUAUUUCUGCUUCUGCUCCUGCCUCUCCACAUCGGUUCACAACACCUCAGUCCCUGAUGGUGUUAAAACCCCUGAGGAACUGUGGCAUUUUUCUGCCCUUAACCCUGCAGUAACCACCCUGGGGCGGGGCAGCAGGGGGGGGGAAUCUUGGUCUCUCCUUGCCUGGUCACCCCAUGCAAAAGCGCAACUCCUCCCCCACCCCAUUCUCCCUAUCCUCCUUCCUGUCUUAUGUUUAUCUCCAGCACCUUCUAACACAUCCCCUAUUUUACUUAUCUGGUUUAUUCUCCCCAGCCCCCUCCCUUUCGUCCCCAACCCCAGAAGUUAAGCUCAGGACAGUAAAUGUUUUCAUCUGUUUUGUUUUCUGUACCUUGUAUGCACCUGGUCCAUAAUAAAUGCUCAAUAAAUUCCUUGGAGUGAAUCCUAGGGGAAAACGUACAACCUCAGGCAUCUGCCUUCUUAUUUAAAGUACUGCCUUGUGGUAAACACUUAGCAAGGUAUAAGGAAUCAGUCUUAUGAUAAGAAUUAAUGUUGUGAGACUCUGUGACUAGGAAUUGAAUAUUGAAUGGGCCAUGGAAGGAAACAGAGGCUUGAAAUGGGGAGAUGCUAUGUUUACUGCCAUUCUGAAACUAACCUCUUCAUGAAAUGAAACAAUUCAUUUCCUCUCUGUUUGCCCCAGUUUUCUCAGCUCAGUAAGACAUAAAUACCUACUUCAGGUUUAGAGGAAUUAGGAAACUGAAAUAUGUGAAAAAGGCAAUGGCACUAUCCCAAAAGUAUUUGUAUCUAAUGUGCCUUUAAGUUUACAACAUUUAUUACAGUAAAAGAGUACCAAAGAAUUUGCUAAUUUCGAACAGAAUCUUUUGUUAACUGGUUUAGAACCGUCCUUUUCUAUUUUGUGUUUUAGUCUCUAUCCCAAAGUUGUACUGAAUCCCAAAGGUGCC